rnacentral:rRNA from 1 species
GACGAACGCUGGCGGCGUGCUUAACACAUGCAAGUCGAGCGGUAAGGCCCUUUCGGGGGUACGACGAGCGGCGAACGGGUGAGUAACACGUGGGUGACCUGCCCUCAGCUCUGGGAUAAGCCUGGGAAACCGGGUCUAAUACCGGAUAUGACUCCAUGACGCAUGUUGUGGGGUGGAAAGCCUUGUGCGGCUGAGGAUGGGCCCGCGGCCUAUCAGCUUGUUGGUGGGGUGAUGGCCACCAAGGCGACGACGGUAG